GGGGUGUGUCGUCUUUAGCCUUGCUCCCUUUUCCACUUGCUUUGGUUGCCAAACACCGAAGGAUUACUAAUCAUGUUCCUUAUUUAUUUUUUUUAAUCAGAGAUUUACCUGUAUUUGAUUUCCAGCUAUAGACUAUGAGCGUUCACACCAGCCUUUGCAAAGGUGUUGAGCUCCUCAAGUUAAUUGGUAAUAAAUUAACCUUGGGAGGUUGUUUGUGUGAAGCAGAUUACGUGCAUGCAGCUUUGUGGAGGUUUUUAGUGAAGCAAAACAUAGGAAAGAAAGGUGGAAACAGGGAUACAUGACACAAUUCAGAUUGCCUGGAAUGCCUGUAAUAAACAGUUGUUUUGUGCAUCUGAAUAUCUGCAUCUGUCAGUUCUCUUUAGAAAACAUAUAAGAAAAACCUCAGGAAAGUUUAUUUGGGGCACCUGCAAUAAUAAAAUUGAAGUGGCCCAAGCCUGAAAAUCACACCAUGCGUCUCCAAAUCCCUGCUGGAGUGAAUGGAGCUGGUGGGGUCUAUUCAGGUUCCUCACCAUACAGGUGGUAUUGGGAGGACAUGGUGGCUCAGCUCUUGAAAUUUCUACCUGCCCCUAGAUGUGUCCUGGCCUCCAGAAGGGUGAUCUCACUAAUCACUUUUUAAGAAUCCAGCAUCCAGGGUUAAUCAACACGAGCUGAAUUACAGCAAAGGUUCCUACAGCAGUGGAAAAAUCCUGUGCAACUCCCUUUCCUCAAGUUAUCCUCUUGGAUAGUGGGGUUUAUCCUCUGCCUGAGUUCUGCCCAAAUCCUCAUGAUCCCUGCAAAGCCAAGGCCUCUUUCCAAAAAGCUUCUGCCUCUCGGGGCCUUUGUCUAUUUGACAAGGCAGAUCUUCCAAUAGUUGAUUUUCUGUUUGGCAGUCAAACUAAAGGCUAAAAAAGCAUGAUACAGGUCAACCCCAAAAACCUCACGGGAAUGGAAAGGGAGAUUCCCAAGGAAACUGUCCUCAGCCACAAGGCUUAUAAAGAGAAAUUAUCACCCAAUCCACUGCCUACAACAGAGCCUCAGAGCACACAGGAUGCAAGUUCAAACUCCUUCUGUUUCUCAUAUGGAAAGUAUUUUUAAAAAGCUUUCCUGGAAGCAAUAUCACACCCAGUGUGCCAGGCAACACCAGAGGCACAUGGAGAUGGAGCACAAAGAGGCAGGAGUCUGGCUGUGCCUUGCUGUGCCUACACUGCUCAGCACAAAGGCCAGGGCAGAGUGGCAACCCUGGGCUCACAGGCACUGUGCCUAGAGCUUGCUUCCCAAGGAGAACAUUUACCUUGGAAACAGCUACUUGGAGUGAUCCACACCAAAGGCUCAGAGCUAGCAGAGAGCCCAGCAGACAAUGAGCACAAAUCCAGGGCUGAAGUCCAUCUCUUCUUUGUUGGUGAUGUAGCUAUGCCUGUCAGAUGUGCCUACAAUGUCAGACACAGCUCUUCAGCUGACUCUGGGUCCUCAUCCUUGAUUGUUCCCAUGGUGUUGGUCAGCACAUGCCUAUGCUGUUCCCUGGACCAGAUCAAGGAGCUCCCUCCAGCCACCAAGCAGUGCUGCUCUGGACAUGGAUACUCCUGGAAAAACUUGCAAGAGCCACAUGAACAAGCUCUGUCUCAUUUCCCCUGGGAUGUUCCUCCAGCAUGGUCCCACCAGCCUUUCCAUCCUCCAGCUCUUCUGAAUGCUCUCAUGCUUCAAUCCAUGCCAGGCUAUACACCCCAUGGAAUUCAGCACUGGUCCAUAGGCUGAACACACAGGGCCAAGCUAAGCUGGAGUCAAGUCCCAUGCAAUGCUGCCAAAUUCAGCCUCUUUUGUUGGCUGGCCCUGAGCAGCCAACACUGCUCUGGAACAACUGCUCUUGUCCACUACCUACCAGAUCCCAGGCCUGCUCUUUGGGGCAGGCAGUUUAGUCCUGCUGGUAUUCCUGCUCUAUCUGGUCCAACAAACAGUGUAAAUAAUUCUACUCUGAGCAAGAGGAUUAGGAAAGCCCCCUUGCAGGCUGUCCUGUGGUUUGGCCAUGCUCUGAAGACACAGCAUGUUGGUAAAUCCUCACUCCAGCUGAGGUUUCCUUUUGAGAUCAGCUUCAAAAAUAAAAAGUAAAAAGAACCUCAAACCAACAAAGCAAGCCACUUUUAUGUUUCUAAUUUUUGGGGUUAAUUCUGAUGAAUGGUUGCACACCAAUUGGCAGAUAGCUUCUGUCAACCAGGAACUGCUUUUCAGUGAGUAAUCUGUUUUUCAGACAUCAUUGGCUCUACUUGUACCCCCUUCCCACUGCCACAGGAGAGGGAAGGGAUACUGCAGGAACUGCUUCACAUAUGAUCCUUGCUGCCCUGGCUCUCAUGUAGCCACCAAAUGGUCUCACCCUCUGCCUGCUCUUCUGCUUGGAGAUAUUAAGGACCUUCAGCAGUUACCAUGUCUCACUCUGGGUAGCUUCUUCUUCCUCAGCUGCACCUCUCCCAGUGCUGUCAGAAUGGCCAUGGCGACUCUGUCAAGACUUGCUCACCUAAUUUCCAUAUUGAGGAUUUCUAGCUACUAUAAGUGGCAUUUCUAUGUCCUCCUUUCAGGACACACAUCUUUAUGAGCCCAUCAGGUUAUGCCAUCUGCUGUCUGUUGGAAUGUAAACACCUUCUUAGGGACAGGUACAUGCACAACAAUGGUAAUGUUUGUUACCAGGACAUGGCUGUGGGGCUCCACAGGUGGC